GGACCUAUAAGGGAAUACAAUCUUGAGUUUCCCGAAGAUGAAAUUAGUGGAAGGCAUUUUUCAUAUGAUUACUACACAAGAAAGUUAAGGAAUGGCGAGUUCAGUGAUCGGAGGUGGUUAGUGUACUCUAAACACGUGAAUAAAGUCUACUGCUUUUGUUGCAAAUUGUUUAAAUCUGGAAAAAGCAAAAGUCUGCUAGCAUCCGAGGGAUUGAAGGAUUGGAGACAUCUUAGUGAGAAGCUCAAAUUGCAUGAGAAUAGCGUUGAGCAUAUCACUAACAUGAAUACUUGGAAUGAGGUAAGGCUGAGGCUAAGUAAGAAGGAAACAAUUGAUAAAGACAUGCAAGCAAGGGAGAAGGAGCGAUGGAGACUUGUUUUAAUUACAAUUGUUGCUGCUGUGAAAUUUCUUGCUAAACAUAGUCUGGCUAUUCGAGGAUCGAAUGAGAAAUUAUAUCAAGAU
rnacentral:rRNA from 1 species